GGGAGACCCUCUGUGGAACCAGCGUGCCCCUGACCCUGCCCUCUGCCCUGACUGGAGCUGGGAGGAUUCUUCACCCAGGGCGGCCACUGAGGCAGCAGCUGGUGGGAGACCCCAGUAGAGAAUAACCAAACCAGCCUCUAAUUGCCAAACUGGAGCUGGCACUAGACACCAAGAGCACCUGGGUGUCAUGAGGGAUGGGAGAGAGAGGACAGCAAGCAACUAAUUGGCAGCAGAGCCCACUCCUCCUGUCGGUGGAUUCUCCCUAGUUGCUCUCCAGUGGGGCACUAGAGGCAACACAGAUUGCAGCCAAGAUGGUCUGCACGUGGUGCAGGGGCUCUGCCAGGGCAGCUGCUGCUCAGGACUGUAGGAGCAAUGUUGCUUGGAAUUGGAGUCUCCUCCAAAGAAAGCACAGCUCACACAGAUCUUAGUGAGAAAUAGCAACAAUAACUGCCACCAUCAUGCCCCUGCCACGUGGCAGGCUCCGGGGUACACCCUUUCCAGGCAUUACUCCAUUGGCAGCAAGCAUAUAAGUGGGGCUAUUAUGAUCUUCACUUUAAGGACAAGAGGAACAAGGCCACAGAGAAUCCUGAUUUUGUUUGGAAGGACAGCGUGCCUGGUUCCAGGACUUGAAUCAUUCGUUUGUCCAGCAUCUCCAUGCUGUGUACGCUACCCGCCUGUUAGUCAUUGACACUGUCUGCUCCUGACAUCCACCCAUCAAUAUUGUCAUUGCUCAAUGAUCCAGGAUCACCGAGAGCAGAUGAGCCUCCUGAUGCAUGGUCAGAAGGUCAAUAGUAGCUUACUUCUCCGUCACAACGCCUGAGUUAUUCACCUCACCUCACCUCAUC
rnacentral:lncRNA from 1 species